UCGGGAAUUUUGGGCAAUGGGCGAAAGCCUGACCCAGCAACGCCGCGUGAAGGAUGAAGUAUUUCGGUAUGUAAACUUCGAAAGAAUGGGAAGAAUCAAUGACGGUACCAUUUAUAAGGUCCGGCUAACUACGUGCCAGCAGCCGCGGUAAUACGUAGGGACCAAGCGUUGUUCGGAUUUACUGGGCGUAAAGGGCGCGUAGGCGGCAAUUCAAGUCAUCUGUGAAAUCUCCGGGCUUAACUCGGAACGGUCAGAUGAUACUGCUUUGCUAGAGUGCAGAAGGGGCAAUCGGAAUUCUUGGUGUAGCGGUGAAAUGCGUAGAUAUCAAGAGGAACACCUGAGGUGAAGACGGGUUGCUGGGCUGACACUGACGCUGAGGCGCGAAAGCCAGGGGAGCAAACGGGAUUAGAUACCCCAGUAGUCCCUGAGCGGGCUGGCAAGGCGCAU
rnacentral:rRNA from 1 species